UCUCUCUCUCUCUAACCACUGCCAGCCACCUCUCUUCUCCGCACCCCGUCGCGACCACUCGCGAAGUAAUUCCCGUUCCGCACACCUGACUACGCCGAGGCCCCGGCGUCGCCUCCGCCCGCCGGACGCGGAAGCCAUGGCGCCGGCGGUGGGGAUCAAGCGCCCGGCCGCGCAGACCAUCACGCUGCCUCCGCCGCCGUCGGUGCGCGACGUCCUGUGGUCCACGAUCCCGUCGCAGCCCGCCGAGGCGCCGCCGGCCGCGGAGAGGGCGCCCGCGCCGCCGCUGGAGGGGUUCCUGUGCCUGGAGGAGGUGGACGGGAGGCGGUGGAGCUACGUGGUGGACCGCGGCGGGGCCGUCAAGGGGAGGGGCCGGGGCGGGGCGGCGGGCCCCGCGGGGGCCUCCGUCAGGGCCGUGUCGCUGCAGUCGCCGCUUCCGCCGGCCGAGGAAAUAAUGGCAUUCAUAAGAUCGUAUGUCGUACCUGAAGGGUUUCCAGACAGUGUUACGCCUUCAUACGUCCCAUACAUGACCUGGAGGGCUUUGAAGCAUUUCUUUGGUGGAGCAAUGGGGGUAUUUACGACAAGAACCUUGCUGAGCUCUGUUGGAGUCUCUCAAAGUAAGGCUACACCAGGUGCCAUUGCUAUCAACUGGAUCCUCAAGGAUGGUGCUGGGCGUGUCGGUAAAAUGCUUUUUGCACGUCAAGGAAAGAAGUUUGACUACGACCUAAAGCAGUUGCGGUUUUCUAGUGAUCUCUUGCUGGAGAUAGGAGCUGGUAUUGAAUUAACUACUGCAGCAUUCCCUCAAUUUUUCUUGCCUAUGGCCUGCGUAGCAAAUGUUGUAAAGAACGUCGCUGCUGUUACAUCAACCUCAACGCGCACUCCAAUCUAUAAGGCCUAUGCAAGAGGAGAAAACAUUGGUGAUGUCACUGCUAAAGGCGAAUCUGUUGGGAACAUUGCGGAUCUGUUGGGUACUGGUCUGAGCAUCUUUAUCUCAAAAAGGAAUCCAUCGCUGGUGACUUCAUUUGCCUUUCUGUCCUGUGGAUACCUCCUGAGUUCAUAUCAAGAGGUGAGAUCUGUUGUGCUGAAUACCCUAAACAGGGCAAGGUUUACAGUUGCAGUGGAUUCCUUUAUUAAAACUGGUCACAUUCCCUCCUUAAAGGAAGGAAACUCACAGGAGACGAUAUUUAAUCCACCUUGGCGGCAUGAGCCAGUUGCAAUAGGUUCACGAUUUGGAGAAGCAUUUCAAGAGCCUGCUUCAUUUGUUGCCAUCAGACCUCUAUUUGAGGAUGAGAGAUACAUAGUAACAUAUAAUCCAACAAAGGAUAAAGUAUAUGCUUUGCUCAAGGACCAAGCAAAAUCAGAUGACAUUAUCAAAGCUGCUUUCCAUGCUCAUGUGCUACUGCAUUUCAUAAAUGCAUCACAUGCACGGAGGCUGAAGCAGAAGCAGAAGCAGAGGCAGGCAAACCCGGACCGAUCAGACUAUGGAAGCCUGUACUCAAGAAACAUGGAUUUCCUGGCACACAUCGCUGAAUCUUGCAAAAUCGUUUCUUCAUCAUAUGGAACAUUCAAGAAGAAAGCGAGAGAACAGGUAAAAACUCCCUGUCUUUAUGAUAAAUGCACUUCUUUCCCCCAACCACAUUUUUGUUUCUGUUUCAGGGUUGGAUAAUGUCCGAAUCACUGCUCAACCCUGGAAAGGCUCGAUUGUGUGGGGCAAAACCACUAUGAGUCUACUGUCCUUCUGUUUAAUAUAUCCAGGGGAUGAUACCAUCUUAAGUUUGUCAGUUGUGGGACUAACUUUGCUGACAAGGCCGGAUGCUCAGCUGUUAGGAGCUGAACUAACAUAUGUUGGCGCCCAGCAAUAGGUGUGAAUCAGUGAAACCUUCAAUUGCAACUCCCAUGGAGAGCAAGUCACGCGAUGUGAAGAAUGCCUGAAUGAAGAUGAAUAAAACAAUGCAGUGGAGAAAUGGUGAGCUGGUUUGCACGCAAGGGGUCAACGAGUGGGGACUUGAAACUGCUAACUGCAGACUAGGAGCUUGUAUUUAUGUUCGCUGUAUCAUACAUGGUCUAGCCAUCCUGCUGUAACCUGUUUUUCGUUUUGGUCGGCUGCGGAGCUUCUUUGUUUUGAGUGUCCUUGGAGCUGUUUCUUUUUUAUUUUCUUCUUCGUCUGCUGACUUGCGGUACUCGAGAGCUGCUGAUCCUCUUCCUUCUAACUUAGCACCCUUUAGUAAAUUCCAGUUUUCUCGGUGAGUCAUCAGUCAUGCCGUCGAUGACGGUUUCCAUCUUGUACAUACAUGCUCGGUAAUAACUUGAAAGCCUUUGUGUUUCUUUUUCCUGGGAA